rnacentral:rRNA from 1 species
CCGGCACGGGUGAGUAACACGUAUCCAACCUGCCGUCUACUCUUGGACAGCCUUCUGAAAGGAAGAUUAAUACAAGAUGGCAUCAUGAGUCCGCAUGUUCACAUGAUUAAAGGUAUUCCGGUAGACGAUGGGGAUGCGUUCCAUUAGAUAGUAGGCGGGGUAACGGCCCACCUAGUCUUCGAUGGAUAGGGGUUCUGAGAGGAAGGUCCCCCCCAUUGGAACUGAGACACGGUCCAA